GGGUUGUGAGGUUAAGCGACUAAGCGUACACGGUGGAUGCCCUGGCAGUCAGAGGCGAUGAAGGACGUGCUAAUCUGCGAUAAGCGCCGGUAAGGUGAUAUGAACCGUUAUAACCGGCGAUUUCCGAAUGGGGAAACCCAGUGUGACUCGUCACACUAUCAUUAACUGAAUCCAUAGGUUAAUGAGGCGAACCGGGGGAACUGAAACAUCUAAGUACCCCGAGGAAAAGAAAUCAACCGAGAUUCCCCCAGUAGCGGCGAGCGAACGGGGAGGAGCCCAGAGCCUGAAUCAGCAUGUGUGUUAGUGGAAGCGUCUGGAAAGGCGCGCGAUACAGGGUGACAGCCCCGUACACAAAAGCGCAUGUGUUGUGAGCUCGAUGAGUAGGGCGGGACACGUGGUAUCCUGUCUGAAUAUGGGGGGACCAUCCUCCAAGGCUAAAUACUCCUGACUGACCGAUAGUGAACCAGUACCGUGAGGGAAAGGCGAAAAGAACCCCGGCGAGGGGAGUGAAAAAGAACCUGAAACCGUGUACGUACAAGCAGUGGGAGCACCCUUCGGGGUGUGACUGCGUACCUUUUGUAUAAUGGGUCAGCGACUUAUAUUCUGUAGCAAGGUUAACCGUAUAGGGGAGCCGUAGGGAAACCGAGUCUUAACCGGGCGUUAAGUUGCAGGGUAUAGACCCGAAACCCGGUGAUCUAGCCAUGGGCAGGUUGAAGGUUGGGUAACACUAACUGGAGGACCGAACCGACUAAUGUUGAAAAAUUAGCGGAUGACCUGUGGCUGGGGGUGAAAGGCCAAUCAAACCGGGAGAUAGCUGGUUCUCCCCGAAAGCUAUUUAGGUAGCGCCUCGUGAAUUCAUCUCCGGGGGUAGAGCACUGUUUCGGCUAGGGGGCCAUCCCGGCUUACCAACCCGAUGCAAACUGCGAAUACCGGAGAAUGUUAUCACGGGAGACACACGGCGGGUGCUAACGUCCGUCGUGAAGAGGGAAACAACCCAGACCGCCAGCUAAGGUCCCAAAGUCAUGGUUAAGUGGGAAACGAUGUGGGAAGGCCCAGACAGCCAGGAUGUUGGCUUAGAAGCAGCCAUCAUUUAAAGAAAGCGUAAUAGCUCACUGGUCGAGUCGGCCUGCGCGGAAGAUGUAACGGGGCUAAACCAUGCACCGAAGCUGCGGCAGCGA
rnacentral:rRNA from 1 species